UACGAGGGGGGCGAGCGUUGUUCGGAAUUAUUGGGCGUAAAGGGCGCGUAGGCGGUGCGGUAAGUCACCUGUGAAACCUCUAGGCUUAACCUAGAGCCUGCAGGCGAAACUGCCGUGCUGGAGUGUGGGAGAGGUGCGUGGAAUUCCCGGUGUAGCGGUGAAAUGCGUAGAUAUCAGGAGGAACACCUGUGGUGUAGACAGCUUACUGGACCACUUCUGACGCUGAGACACGAAAGCGUGGGUAGCAAACAGG
rnacentral:rRNA from 1 species